rnacentral:lncRNA from 1 species
CUACUAAUCUAUCACUAGCAAGUGAAAUAUAACAAUUUACUAGCCAAUGGCUAAAGACAGACAAUAUUUAGUUGCCUGAUGUGAAAUGUGGUUGCAUAUGCAAGUGAUUUACUCGCAUUGUGCAGGUUUGAAAACGUUAAUAACAAUAAUAAUGCAUUGAAGUAAAUCUUAAAUGAGACAACCAAACCAGCCCACAUCAAACUAUAAAGCACAAUUUAUAUUUGCACUACACUGGCUACUAUUUGAGGGGUUUCUCUGUCCUGGACGUACCCCUCUGUGGCUCUAUACGGGCUGAGCUCCAAGAAGGAUUGUGUGAAGCUAAUAAAGUCCAAGUCCAGGUCCUCCCUCUGCAUCCGUCCCAGAGAAAGCCUAAUCCCGUUAGCUGUGCUUUCUCAUGGAUAAUCCCUCCACUUCCCACCUGGCCGUCCUUCAGCCUCAGCCUCUCUCUGGGAUGACCGUCUUCUGCUGAACACUGCAGGUGUUCAAGCUAGGAGAGAUUAGGGUCAGAUGCAUUUACCGGUGAUUAACAGUGACACAAGCCGACACAAACAACCAUGAUCCUGCUGGUGCAAAACCCCUGUGACCAAGAGCGAGAAACAGUUUGAUUGGUUUCAAAUUAAGACAGCAUGUUUAGCUGGGUGAUAAAGGUUGUUCCCCAGCCUCCAGCAUCUCCUGGGAAGCUGGCAGAGGAGGACCAGACCAAUGCUUCCACUGCAGCACCAGAUGUGACGAAAAAAGAGGAAGUAAAACAAGGUAACUAUGCACUCUAUCAAAUUUGACAGCAGUUUUGAUCAAUGACCAACACUGAAUCACAGAAAAAAAUACAGACCUGAGAGCACUGUUCAUUUAUUUUUCAUAAUGUUAUUUUACAGAAACUUCCAAGUCAACGGAGGAGGUCUCAGACGAGAACAGGUGAUGUUAUGUUUGUGUGUGUGUGUGUGUGUGUGUGUGUGUGUGUGUGUGUG